CGGCGGGGCGCGGGGCGCAGACCCGACGGCGGCCCGGCUGCCGGCCGCGGCGCAGGCCGCCCCCCGCCCCCGGCCUCCGCUUGGUUUGCUCCCGCGUCAGUGAGGGUGGCAGGUGCUGGGCGCGCACGCGAGGGCCGGCGGGGCACGGGCGGGGCACAGGCGCGCUCGGCCCCCGAAACCUCGCACAAAACGCCGUGCGAUGGGUGUCACCCCGCAGGGUGCUUUUGUUCUGUGUGUAACGUUUGCAACGUGUCCCCUAAUACCUCAGCUGAGGCUGGUAGCGUUGACUCGGGUCUCCCACGGCGUGAAUGCGUUAUGUGUACCUACGCCGGCCCCCCUUGGUGAGCGUUCAGAUUGCCUCCGAAUCGCCACGAACAACCCCGCGAAGAACGCCCUCGUGCGCCGUCCCCGUGCAUGUAUCUGGGAGGAAACGCUCAAGGAGGCAGCACUGACAGUCAACAUUUUAAGACUAUUCCCUUCAGUACUUAUCAUAUUCCUGUCUGGGAUUACACAUUUUAAUGUACUCUAGACAACCAUUUUUGGUUUCCCGCUGUUCUUGCAAACUCAGGGUUCCAGUUUUUAAGCCCUUCAGAAGCAGUAAGGGGCUGGCCCACCAUAUGUGUCACCGGUAAACCCAAGAGGACGCGCACCGAAUGCACGGGAGUGAAGCCCUGUCCCCGCAGGAGGGGCCCUCGGCGAGCCGGGCUGUCCCCGCACGCGCCCUGCCCGGCCCGGGAGCGGGGACGGAGGCCAACCGCGUGGAGACGAGGCCGCGAGGCGCCGGUUCGCGUUCCUUCGAGUCCAGCGUCGGGCCUCCAGCGCCGCCUUGGCCUCCCCCGGGCCCAACGGAUUCUGUUGAAACUAGGUUUAGUUACUCGGGGUGUAUGUAUGUCUAAAAUGGUUAUCUUGUGCUUUUUAUUUUUAAAAGAUAGAAAUCAUUUAAUUUAUUGGGCCUUUAUUGUUGAGUACAACAAAAAGUGGGGGUGUGAGGCCGGGCCGGAAGCGGUGCUUCACCCCGCGUGUCUUGUCCACUACGUCACCUCGUCCCACGUGCCCGGGGCCCCCCGGGUGUGGCUGCCCCCCGGGCUGCACGUGUCCACGGGCGGCGGGGCUGGAAGGCGGGGCCGGCGCGGAGCCUGAAGCGCCUGCGCCGUCGGGACCCGGGUUCUGCGGGGCUGCGCAGGGGGCUGGUGGAGGCCACGGCCGGGUCCCGGUUGGCGAGAGCCCCCGGACGUGCAGGACGGUCUCAGAAGCUGAGCCCGAGAGGGAGGGUGGUGCUGGCCGUGCCCGGCUUGAACGCCGACUUAGGAAGCCUGGACAUUUGUAAAGACAGGCAGUGGGGACGGACUGAGGGCGUCUGAGGUCGUUAAGACGUGACUGGGGUGCAGAGAAAAAUAGGAGGGGCGCCAGUUCCGUGCCUGUGGCCGGGAGCCGCCGGGGUCGCAGACUCAGCAGUAGGCAGGGGAGGAAAGGACAGCCGAGGCAUUUCAGAGGCUGGGCGGAGGGCACUGCCAGAUACGGGGGUGGGCAGCGGCGCGGACACAGAGAUGGUGCCUGGGUCUGCGGCCUGGCUUCGCGCUCUGAGCCGGGAGCCCCACGUUGUCCUUCUGUUCUGGGUGGUCCUGGAUGGUGCGUGGCCAGGACCAGGGCCCCGAGUAGGAGGAGCUGCCCAGACAGGCGGACCUGCUCCACACGCACGUGUCAACCGCCAGCAGGACAUCAGGGAUGCUGCCUGGCGGGCACCUGGGGGUGUGACCCCCAGAGCCUCAGAGGAAGGCCGAGGCCAGAGGUGGGGCUUCGGGAAGGGCUUCUGUCUCUCUGAGAGGAACUUGACUAGUAACAGAGGCCUAGAAGGUCCCACCCAGGAGGUGUCCUGUCCAGCGAAAUCACUGUGCUUAAAAGUAACACAAUUCCAUUCCUUUAUUAAAGUCUUUCCAGCCUGUGAAUUUCUGUAAUUAAAAUGUGCAACUUUCCAAAGGUCAGAAUUAUAUUUUUACUAUUAUUGUCGCAUUUCCAAAACUUUGUCCUGAGAUUUAGUUGUUUUUUCUAUUUAAUUUAACAUGACCCCUAAGACUGUUGGCAUUUACUCUUUGAUUCAUGAUGUAAUUAAGCCAGCCUGUAAGUCUUAUUUCCAAGAUAUUUUAGACCAAGAGACUGUGAGAAAAGCUUAGAAUAGUUUUACUUAAUUUAAAUAUUUCAAAUUUAAAUGUAAAUUAUUGGCAGUGGUGUAAAACCUGUUCAACAGGCAAGUGAUAUCUUGUCCAUCAGCCUUCACAGUUUACUGAGUAGCUACUUCACUCAUAAUUCAUAAUGAAAAACAGCACCUUUUAAGCAUAGGCUGACUCCUUAAAAAAUUGUCUAGGGAAGCUACUAGAAAAUUAGGAUAAAUGAAAUUAAGUUCUCUUUUGACUAGGACUAGGGUGGAGUGUUGAAGAGUUUCAGAGGCCUGACGCGCUUUGGCACGCGCGCAGUGGACGGCUGAGGGGUGACCGGGGAGGCGGUGCUGUCUCGGGCUCCCUGGCCAGGAAUGGAGCCUGUCCGCAUUCAGACGACCUGUGGCCACCUGGUUGCCGCAGGCGUCAGUGUUUUUGCCUUGGUUUCCUGUCACAUCCGCGUAGGUUUGGAACACACAGUGCUUUUAGAUGCACGAGCCCUGCAGGGUGUCAGGCGCUCUUGUCCUUGGGCCGGUGCAGGGGCGGUGUGCAGGAGAGUGUGGCUCCUGCCGUGCGGCCCCCGCUCAGCGCAGACCCUGGGGGUGCCCAAAUGCCGUGACCCCGGAGGAAGAACGAGUACACGCAGGGGGUGCGUGACGGGGAGUUAGGUUGUGCAAGAUGGGGGUAUCUGCCCUUUGUCGUGAGCCAAGACUCCCUCCCCCUCCCAGCAGCUGUUUGGUUUUUUGACAUCACUUGGCUGCAUUUCCAAGGUCUGUACCAAGCAAAUGUCAGGGUGUAAGGCAGUGUUUUUUGACUGUGCUUGUCUGCUGCUGCGUUCGCUGGGUGAGCUGGUAGCGCAUUUGGUAUCUAAGGAUUAUGGGGCAGGGAGAAAAGGGAAGCCCAGCUCAGCACUUUUCCCCCCGAGUUGGAGAAACAGAAGCCAUGCAGUUUUAAAUCCCAUGCCUACACACCAGAUAGAAACUUGCUAAUGGCAAAGGUCAGAGGUCACAAAAGAGCAAUAUAAGUUUUUGGUUUUGACUUAAAAACACUAUUUUCUAUAACUUGGUGUUCAUUUUUUUAAAAUUAAAGUAUCGUUGAUGUACCAUCUUAUAUUGGUUUCAAAUGUACAACACAGUGGUUCACCAGUUACCCACAUUAUUAAAUCCUCACCCCCUCUAGUGCGGUCACUAUCUGUCAGCACAGGAAGAUGUUACAGAGUCACUGACUGUAUUCUCCAUGCUGUUCUACCAUCCCCGUGACCAGCUUACAUUUUGAUUGCGCAUUAUUGUGCCCUUUAUCCUCCUCCGCCUCCCCCUUGGUGACCACUAGUCACUUCUCUGUGUUGAG